GUAUAAGUUUAAUCGUUUAUCGAGAAACCGCGAACGGCUCAUUACAAUGGCCAUUAUUUACUUGAUCUUGAUUGUCUAAAUGGAUAACUGUGGAAAAGCUAGAGCUAAUACAUGCACUAAAGCUUUGUCCUUACGGAAAAGCGCAUUUAUUAGAACAAAACCACGCGGCUUCGGCUGCUUCUUGUUGACUCAGAAUAACUUAGCUGACCGCAUGGCCUUGUGCCGGCGGCGUGUCUUUCAAGCGUCCACUUUAUCAACUUGACGGGAGCAUAAUCGACUCCCGUGGUGGUGACGGAUAACGGAGGAUCAGGGUUCGACUCCGGAGAAGGGGCCUGAGAAAUGGCCACUACGUCUAAGGAUGGCAGCAGGCGCGCAAAUUACCCACUCUCGGCUCGAGGAGGUAGUGACGAGAAAUAACGAGACUGUUCUCUUUGAGGCCGGUCAUCGGAAUGGGUACAAUUUAAACCCUUUAACGAGUAUCAAGCAGAGGGCAAGUCUGGUGCCAGCAGCCGCGGUAAUUCCAGCUCUGCAAAUACAUAGAAUUAUUGCUGCGGUUAGAAAGCUCAUAGUUGGAUUCGUAUCGAUACCUUGGAACCCUUCGGGUGUCUCUAGGUGUUAUCGAUUUAUCGUAAUGUUCGGUUUUGAGUCCUUAACAGGAUUCUUAACAGGCAUUGCAAGUUUACUUUGAACAAAUCAGAGUGCUUCAAACAGGCGUUUUCGCUUGAAUGAUCGUGCAUGGAAUAAUAGAAAAUGAUUUCGGUUCAGUUUUAUUGGUUUUACGGACUGAGAUAAUGGUUAACAGAGACAAACGGGGGCAUUUGUAUGGCCCCGUGAGAGGUGAAAUUCUUGGACCGUGGCCAGACAAACUACAGCGAAAGCAUUUGCCAAGAAUGUUUUUAUUAAUCAAGAACGAAAGUCAGAGGUUCGAAGGCGAUCAGAUACCGCCCUAGUUCUGACCGUAAACGAUGCCAACUAGCGAUCCGCCGAUGGAAAUUAUAUUGCCUUGGUGGGGAGCUUCCCGGAAACGAAAGUCUUCCGGUUCCGGGGGAAGUAUGGUUGCAAAGCUGAAACUUAAAGGAAUUGACGGAAGGGCACCACCAGGAGUGGAGCCUGCGGCUUAAUUUGACUCAACACGGGGAAACUCACCCGGCCCGGACACUGUGAGGAUUGACAGAUUGAUAGCUUUUUCAUGAUUCAGUGGAUGGUGGUGCAUGGCCGUUCUUAGUUCGUGGAGUGAUUUGUCUGGUUUAUUCCGAUAACGAGCGAGACUCUAACCUACUAAAUAGUUGGUGCAUACUCUUUGUGUAUACAGCUUCUUAGAGGGAUUUGCGGCGUUCAGCCGAAAGAAAUUGAGCAAUAACAGGUCUGUGAUGCCCUUAGAUGUCCGGGGCUGCACGCGCGCUACACUGGCAAAAUCAACGUGCUUGUCCUACCCUGAAAGGGGCGGGUAAACCAUUGAAAAUUUGCCGUGAUUGGGAUCGGAAAUUGCAAUUAUUUUCCGUGAACGAGGAAUUCCAAGUAAGUGCGAGUCAUCAGCUCGCGUUGAUUACGUCCCUGCCCUUUGUACACACCGCCCGUCGCUGCCCGGGACUGAGCCAUUUCGAGAAAUUUGGGGACCGUUGAUUUAAUUUUUCUAAAUUACUUUGAUGGAAACCA
rnacentral:rRNA from 1 species